AAAGAAAAUAACAAUGAUUCCCUCAGUAACGGCGAGCGAAGAGGGAUAAGCUCAAAUUUUAAAUCUGUUGGGUUCCACUUAACAGAGUUGUAUUUUGAAGAAACGUUUUCUGCAUCCAGGAUUAGCCUAAAUCCUUUGGGAUAAGGUAUCAUGGAGGGUGAGAAUCCCGUUCAUGGUUAAUCUUAAGGAAGCUCUACGAUACGUUUUCCAAGAGUCGAGUUGUUUGGGAUUGCAGCUCAAAAUGGGAGGUAAAUUUCUCCUAAGGCUAAAUAUUGGCGAGAGACCGAUAGCGAACAAGUACCGUGAGGGAAAGAUGAAAAGAACUUUGAAAAGAGAGUCAAACAGUACGUGAAAUUGUUGAAAGGGAAACGAUUGAAG
rnacentral:rRNA from 1 species